rnacentral:rRNA from 1 species
UUGGAGGGCAAGUCUGGUGCCAGCAGCCGCGGUAAUUCCAGCUCCAAUAGCGUAUAUUAAAGUUGUUGCAGUUAAAAAGCUCGUAGUUGAAUUUCGGAGUUUGUCGGUUGGUCGGGCUUCACUGUUCGCACUGGCCUGAUGGAUUCCUACCUUCUGAAUAACCAGCAUGCUAUUAAUUUAGUGUGUUGGGGAAGCAGAGCUAUUACCUUGAAAAAAUUAGAGUGCUUAAAGCAGGCUUACGCUUGAAUAGAUUAGCAUGGAAUAAUAAAAUAGGACGGCAUGGUUCUAUUUUGUUGGUUUCUAGGAUCACCGUAAUGAUUAAUAGGGAUAGUUGGGGGCAUUAGUAUUCAAUUGUCAGAGGUGAAAUUCUUGGAUUUAUUGAAGACUAACUUCUGCGAAAGCAUUUGCCAAGGAUGUUUUCAUUAAUCAAGAACGAAAGUUAGGGGAUCGAAGACGAUCAGAUACCGUCGUAGUCUUAACCAUAAACUAUGCCGACUAGGGAUCGGACGAUGUUAAUUUUUUAAUGACUCGUUCGGCGCCUUACGGGAAAC